UGCGUAGGCGGCGCGGAAAGUCAGGGGUGAAAUCCCGGAGCUCAACUCCGGAACUGCCUUUGAUACUCCCGCGCUAGAGAGCUGGAGGGGACAUCGGAAUUCACGGUGGAGCAGUGAAAUGCGUGGAUAUCGUGAGGAACACUAGUGGCGAAGGCGGAUGUCUGGACAGUAUCUGACGCUGAGGACAAGGCCAGGGGAGCGAACG
rnacentral:rRNA from 1 species